rnacentral:rRNA from 1 species
UACGAAGGGGGCUAGCGUUGCUCGGAAUCACUGGGCGUAAAGGGUGCGUAGGCGGGUCUUUAAGUCAGGGGUGAAAUCCUGGAGCUCAACUCCAGAACUGCCUUUGAUACUGAAGAUCUUGAGUUCGGGAGAGGUGAGUGGAACUGCGAGUGUAGAGGUGAAAUUCGUAGAUAUUCGGAAGAACACCAGUGGCGAAGGCGGCUCACUGGCCCGGUACUGACGCUGAGGCACGAAAGCGUGGGGAGCAAACAGG